rnacentral:tRNA from 1 species
UCUCUGAUGGUCCAGUGGUAAAGACUUUCUGCCUCUACUGCAGGAGGCACAGGUUUGAUCCCUGGUUGGGGAA